GUGGUGGUGCAUGGCCGUUCUUAGUUGGUGGAGUGAUUUGUCUGGUUAAUUCCGUUAACGAACGAGACCCCCGCCUGCUAAAUAGUUGAGGGAAUGUUUUUUCAUUCCCUGCAGCUUCUUAGAGGGACUUUUGGUGACUAACCAAAGGAAGUUGGGGGCAAUAACAGGUCUGUGAUGCCCUUAGAUGUCCUGGGCCGCACGCGCGCUACAAUGAUACACGCAACGAGUCCACCUUGCUCGAGAGGGCCUGGGUAAUCUUGUAAAUGUAUAUCGUAUUAGGGAUAGAUUUUUGCAAUUCUGAAUCUUGAACGAGGAAUUCCUAGUAAAUGUGAGUCAUCAGCUCGCGUUGAUUACGUCCCUGCCCUUUGUACACACCGCCCGUCGCACCUACCGAUUGAAUGGUUCGGUGAAAAUUUCGGACUGCGACUCGGAUGCUUUCGGGCAACCGAGCUGUGGAAAGUUGUUAAACCUCAUCAUUAGAGGAAGUGAAGUCGAGCACG
rnacentral:rRNA from 1 species